rnacentral:ncRNA from 2 species
UAUUAUGUGCAGGGGGGCUGGUGUUUCCGGCUGAGAUUAAGAAGUUAAUUCUUUGACCCUAAACCUGAUCUGGGUAAUGCCAGCGUAGGAAGUUGUUUGUGUAGGUAU